rnacentral:lncRNA from 1 species
GGGUGAGAUCAUACAGGAGCUUUUAGAGUUAGAUGGAGGUUGAAUGUCGAGUCGAGGAAGAGAUUGAAUUUGGCACUUCAAAUUCGACCCAUAGCAAGAGAAAAAACUCAAGAUGCAGAAACCCAGCUAGAAGAGCAUGUCAUGAGGAGUCUGGAAGCAUGCUGCAUGGGGGCCCACAAUGCAGGGCCUAACAAGGCCCGUAGGUUGGCCCACAGGCAUGCAAGGCCCGUAGCAGUGUAACCCAGGCACGGGCGCAUGGGCGUGCAGCCCAGGUGGGCAUGUGGCCCAGUGCAGGCAAGCGGGCACGCU